rnacentral:rRNA from 1 species
UCCGUAGGCGGUGUGGCAAGUCGGAAGUGAAAUCUCUGGGCUUAACCCAGAGGCUGCUUCCGAAACUGCCGUGCUAGAGUGUGAGAGAGGCGAGUGGAAUUGCGGGUGUAGCGGUGAAAUGCGUAGAUAUCCGCAGGAACAUCCGAGGCGAAAGCGGCUCGCUGGAUCACAACUGACACUGAGGGACGAAAGCUAGGGGAGCAAACAGGAUUAGAUACCCUGGUAGUCCUAGCCCUAAACCAUCAGGACUUGGGGUUUGCCCUGUACGGGGCAAGUCCCGUAGCUAACGCGUUAAGUCCUGCGCCUGGGGAGUACGGUCGCAAGGCUGAA